rnacentral:rRNA from 1 species
GAUGAACGCUGGCGGCGUGCCUAAUACAUGCAAGUCGAGCGAACGGACGAGAAGCUUGCUUCUCUGAUGUUAGCGGCGGACGGGUGAGUAACACGUGGAUAACCUACCUAUAAGACUGGGAUAACUUCGGGAAACCGGAGCUAAUACCGGAUAAUAUUUUGAACCGCAUGGUUCAAAAGUGAAAGACGGUCUUGCUGUCACUUAUAGAUGGAUCCGCGCUGCAUUAGCUAGUUGGUAAGGUAACGGCUUACCAAGGCAACGAUGCAUAGCCGACCUGAGAGGGUGAUCGGCCACACUGGAACUGAGACACGGUCCAGACUCCUACGGGAGGCAGCAGUAGGGAAUCUUCCGCAAUGGGCGAAAGCCUGACGGAGCAACGCCGCGUGAGUGAUGAAGGUCUUCGGAUCGUAAAACUCUGUUAUUAGGGAAGAACAUAUGUGUAAGUAACUGUGCACAUCUUGACGGUACCUAAUCAGAAAGCCACGGCUAACUACGUGCCAGCAGCCGCGGUAAUACGUAGGUGGCAAGCGUUAUCCGGAAUUAUUGGGCGUAAAGCGCGCGUAGGCGGUUUUUUAAGUCUGAUGUGAAAGCCCACGGCUCAACCGUGGAGGGUCAUUGGAAACUGGAAAACUUGAGUGCAGAAGAGGAAAGUGGAAUUCCAUGUGUAGCGGUGAAAUGCGCAGAGUUAUGGAGGAACACCAGUGGCGAAGGCGACUUUCUGGUCUGUAACUGACGCUGAUGUGCGAAAGCGUGGGGAUCAAACAGGAUUAGAUACCCUGGUAGUCCACGCCGUAAACGAUGAGUGCUAAGUGUUAGGGGGUUUCCGCCCCUUAGUGCUGCAGCUAACGCAUUAAGCACUCCGCCUGGGGAGUACGACCGCAAGGUUGAAACUCAAAGGAAUUGACGGGGACCCGCACAAGCGGUGGAGCAUGUGGUUUAAUUCGAAGCAACGCGAAGAACCUUACCAAAUCUUGACAUCCUUUGACAACUCUAGAGAUAGAGCCUUCCCCUUCGGGGGACAAAGUGACAGGUGGUGCAUGGUUGUCGUCAGCUCGUGUCGUGAGAUGUUGGGUUAAGUCCCGCAACGAGCGCAACCCUUAAGCUUAGUUGCCAUCAUUAAGUUGGGCACUCUAAGUUGACUGCCGGUGACAAACCGGAGGAAGGUGGGGAUGACGUCAAAUCAUCAUGCCCCUUAUGAUUUGGGCUACACACGUGCUACAAUGGACAAUACAAAGGGCAGCGAAACCGCGAGGUCAAGCAAAUCCCAUAAAGUUGUUCUCAGUUCGGAUUGUAGUCUGCAACUCGACUACAUGAAGCUGGAAUCGCUAGUAAUCGUAGAUCAGCAUGCUACGGUGAAUACGUUCCCGGGUCU